rnacentral:misc_RNA from 1 species
GUGAACGCCCUCACGGGCUUAUACUAUUCCAAACCUCUGUGAACCGUGCCCUUCGGGGCUAUUUUACAAACAUGGUGUAAUGAACGUCAUAUAUCAUAAUAAAACA